rfam:Schistosoma mansoni, Puerto Rico, WGS project CABG01000000 data, contig: 0182
AUCCAGCUGACGAGUCCCAAAUAGGACGAAACGCGCGUCAAGCCGGAU